rnacentral:rRNA from 1 species
GCUCGUAGUUGGAUUUCGGGCGUGGAGGUUCGGUCCGCCGUUUCGGUGUGCACUGUCUUUCAGCGUCUUUCUGUCGGGGACGCGCUUCUGGCCUUAAUUGGCUGGGACGUGGAUUCGACGAGGUUACUUUGAAAAAAUUAGAGUGUUCAAAGCAAGCUAAAGCUCUGAAUACAUUAGCAUGGAAUAACGCGAGAGGACUCGGUCCUUAUUUUGUUGGUCUUCAAGGAUGGAGUAAUGAUUAAGAGGGACAGUUGGGGGCAUUCGUAUUUCAUUGCUAGAGGUGAAAUUCUUGGAUUUAUGGAAGACGAACUUCUGCGAAAGCAUUUGCCAAGGAUGUUUUCAUUGAUCAAGAACGAAAGUUGGGGGCUCGAAGAUGAUCAGAUACCAUCCUAGUCUCAACCAUAAACGAUGCCGACUAGGGAUUGGCAGGUGUUACAUCGAUGACUCCGCCAGCACCUUAUGAGAAAUCAAAGUUUUUGGGUUCCGGGGGGAGUAUGGUCGCAAGGCUGAAACUUAAAGGAAUUGACGGAAGGGCACCACCAGGAGUGGAGCCUGCGGCUUAAUUUGACUCAACACGGGGAAACUUACCAGGUCCAGACAUAGUAAGGAUUGACAGAUUGAGAGCUCUUUCUUGAUUCUAUGGGUGGUGGUGCAUGGCCGUUCUUAGUUGGUGGAGUGAUUUGUCUGGUUAAUUCCGUUAAC